AAGAAUUUAAGUUAAAAAAACUUUUGACCUUCAAAGCCAAACUUAGAAUUUAGUUCUAAUUCUUA
rnacentral:tRNA from 1 species